rnacentral:rRNA from 1 species
UACGUAGGGGCGAGCGUUGUCCGAAGUUACUGGGCGUAAAGCGCGCGUAGGCGGUUUCUUAAGUCUGGGGUGAAAGGUUCAGCGCUCAACGUGAACAGUGCCUUGGAGACUGGGAGACUUGAGUGUGGCAGAGGAGCAUGGAAUUCCACGUGUAGCGGUGAAAUGCGUAGAGAUGUGGAGGAACACCAGUGGCGAAGGCGACUCUUUGGCCUGUAACUGACGCUGAGGCGCGAAAGCGUGGGGAGCAAACAGG